rnacentral:rRNA from 1 species
AUUCCAGCUCCAAUAGCGUAUAUUAAAGUUGUUGCGGUAAAAAAGCUCGUAGUUGGAUUUCUGUUGAGGGCGUCCGGUCCGUACCACGUACGCGUAUCUGGGUCGCGCUCGGCAUCCUCUCGAAGAACGGUUCUCGCGCUUGAUUGCGUGGUCCGGGUUUCGGGACUUUUACUUUGAGGAAAUUAGAGUGUUCACGGCAGGCAAUUGCCCGGAUACAUUAGCAUGGAAUAAUACUAUAGGAUUUUGGUUCUAUUUUGUUGGUUUCUAGGACUAAAAUAAUGAUUAAUAGGGACAAUUGGGGGCAUUCGUAUCAACACGCUAGAGGUGAAAUUCUUGGAUUGUGUUGCGACGAACUACUGCGAAAGCAUUUGCCAAGGAUGUUUUCAUUG